AUUUCAUUAUGCAGCAACUACAUGGAUUGUUAGUCACAUACUUGUAUUAUUGAUAAACUCUUGUUUUGUGUUAUUUAUUGAUUGAUUCAAGAUGAAAAACAGGCCAGGUUCAAGAGGCUUGUGCAGACGUUCACUGACCCCAUGACAGAAGUGUACCUGCUGUUCUUUCAAGCCACCGUUCCAACUUUCACUACUUUCAACUUGCUUCUUCAAAGAGAGCGGUCAUCAAUAUUUAUGUUGUAUGAUGAGAUGGAGAAAUUUGUACGCAAGCUUUGUUCAAAGUUCAUUGUUCCAGCAGCUCUGCAGGGCCUUGAGGAGCCUGGUGACAUUGCCUUUGGGGAGACGGCAAACCAUUUGCCAGGAAGAAAGUUGAACAUUGGGUUCACAACCAGGGCUAAACUCAACAGGCUACUUGACGAGGGUGACAUCACACCACAGCAGGUGGAUUCAUUCCAUGAAGCUGUAUUAUGUUUCCUGACAAGUGCUGUGGCCUAUGCACUAAAGAAGCUGCCACUGAAAGAGCCACUGCUCAAACAUUCAAAAUUUGUAGACGUACGGCAGAGGGCUGAAAGUGACAUCGGAGAUGUCCUGUACUUUGU